GAAUUUUCCGCAAUGGGCGAAAGCCUGACGGAGCUAUACCGCGUGUAGGAUGACACCCCUCGGGGCGUAAACUACUUUUCUGAAGGAAGACAUUCUGACGGUACUUCAGGAAUAAGGGUCGGCUAACUACGUGCCAGCAGCCGCGGUAAUACGUAGGACCCAGGCGUUAUCCGGAAUUACUGGGCGUAAAGCGAUCGAAGGUGGACUUGUAAGUCUGGUGUUAAAUACCCACGGCUCAACCGGGGUGCUGCAUUGGAAACUGCAAGACUAGAGGAAGGCAGAGGUAGCUGGAAUUCCUAUUGUAGGGGUUAAAUCCGUAGAUAAUAGGAGGAACACCAAAAGCGAAGGCAGGCUACUGGGUCUUUCCUGACACUGCGCGAUCGAAAGCGUGGGGAGCGAAAGGGAUUAGAUACCCCAGUAGUC
rnacentral:rRNA from 1 species